UACGGGGGGAGCAAGCGUUGUUCGGAUUUACUGGGCGUAAAGGCGCGUAGGCGGUCAGCACAAGUCAGUUGUGAAAUCUCCGGGCUUAACUCGGAAAGGUCAACUGAUACUGUGCGACUAGAGUGCAGAAGGGCAACUGGAAUUCUCGGUGUAGCGGUGAAAUGCGUAGAUAUCGAGAGGAACACCUGCGGCGAAGGCGGUUGCUGGCUGACACUGACGCUGAUGCGCGAAAGCCAGGGAGCAAACGG
rnacentral:rRNA from 1 species